ensembl:lncRNA
GUAUUUUCUAGGUGUUCGCCAAAUUAUCAACAGUGACUAUCUCCAAAUUACAGUUGGAGGGGAGAGUUUCUUCAGAGUAAUGAAAUACCAAAGAAAGGAACCUAGUUCAUUUAGCAGAAUUCUGUAAACAGGAUAUUUACAUAGAUUAUUUCGAUAUAUUUAUUCAGUGAAAAGAAUGGUUUCACAUAGCAGAUUUUUUAAUGCAUCUGAAUCUUUAUUCUACAACACAAGCAACAUAAAUACAAUAUCUUUUAAAAUAUUUUCUCUUUAGAAUUUUCAUUUUCACCGCAGAUAAAAUGUACACAAAAUACACUUGCAAGCUUGCUUACAGGAACCUGUUAAACAACAGACAGAUUAUAUCAAACAAAUAGUUAUAUCAACAUAUAAAGGACAGUAGUUUUUUCAUCUUUUAAAAAAUAAAUGUGACCAACUGACUGAAUAAGGCAAAACAAAAGCUGUACUUCUUGACGAGUCCUUUGGGGUAAACAAAAUGCUUCAAGGCUCCUGGUGCAGGGGAUUGCAAAGAUGAGUUUUGCAUUCUAUGGAUAAAAUGGUAUACUGACUCAAAUCAUUAUGGCUAUACCAAGCUUCAGUAAUUUAUAAUUUUCAAAGAAAACAAGUCUAGUCUUUGGCAUAAUACAAGAAAGGAUAAAAGGACCCUUACCACCCAUUGGCUUUACACUUAAGAGUGGGAAAUGGUAGUAGGGGAACCGAUUAUAACAUAAUUUAUCUAAGUCUAUUCCUCUUAGAACAGCAGGAAAAUCAUCUCUCAGCACGAUUAGGGCAAGAAACUUAUUGUUGGCUCUCUCCUCCCACUAAAAACAAAUCAAGAAACAAAACCAGACAAAGCCAACCUUUCCCUCUGGGCACUUGCUCCUGCCCCGAUCAUGCCAUACCUGGGAAUUCUACCACGUGGUUUCAAUUGAAGUGAAACCCCAAAUACCAAAAGCAUUAACCUUUGUCCAAUUUUACCUAUUUUGUGGGAAACCAAUUUUUAUUAGAGCAAACUACUUCCAACAAAAAUCAGAUGAAAGACAUCAGAGGGAGGGACAGAGUGGCCUGCACUUAAUCAUGAGGCAGCCGUGGUGGCCACUGGCAGCUGGUGGGGUCAGGGCCAUACACUUCCGAUGUGAAGAGAAAAUAUCCUUCACGUGUCAGUUCAAAAGACUGGCCUUUAGAUUCCUCCCUCCCCAUUUUGGCACCAGUUGGUAAGACAAAAAUUAUUUCUAGAGAUUAACUUUUAAAAUUUAAUUCAAUAUUAGUGAUUAUUAAAAGAACUAAAUGCACAUAUAAUUUCCAAAAAUUAUCGUGGGAAAUGCAACUGCAAUAGGAAAGCUUCAAUUAUUUCUAUCUACCGAGGCAAAAACUUCAAUCCUCGACAUCAUUGACACUGAUAUGCUUUCUCAUCUAAUUCUAGUAAAUAUAGUCCUUAUUUUCCACUUAUAUAACAGCUUAAAUAAUGUCAGGAUACUUAAAGAGAACUCUUUAAAGAAACUUACUGAACCAAUAAAAAUUAUGUGUAAUUAAUAUGUUUAUAAAAGGGAGAUUAUUUUAAGGUACUUAAUUUUUUUCUCAUUUUUUUUAAUAGAAAAAAUUUGCAAAGUGAAUAAGGAGUUAGGAGAUAAACUAAGGCCCCAUUUAUAUGUAACAUGAUUAAGAUUUCACUGUACUCCCAAAACAUACUGAUGCACUUUGACAUUUUUCUCAUCAUUUGGAAGAUGAGAUGAUAGAUAUGGUCUCGAUUGGGUAGAUAUGUGCACAAACAUAACAUAUUUACCGUAAAGUCCUUAAAACAGGCACAUACGCUGCUCAGAAGGGAGUUGGUUCAGUUUGCAAAUUCCCAUGAAGCCAUUUGGUAGACUCUUUACAGAUACAUAGGAAAUUAAAAUAUUACACCAGACAGUUAAGUGAAAGAUGACGGCACAUCAAGUAGUAUGAUACCAUCUUGAUGUGCGGAUAUUCUGGUGACUGAUGAGGGUUAUAAAACUACUGGCAAGGGAGCAACUACUCAAACAUUUCUAGAGCCAGGAGCCAAGGUUAUGAUGGAAUCAGCAUGGAAACAUCUCAUCAAAACUGUGUGGACAGAAGAAAUGAAAACACUACAUACUUUAAAAUCACCUUCAGUACAAGUCAAAAAAUCAACAUGAUACAAAAGGUUGUCCAUAGAGUUAAUGUUUCUAAAUACAAAGACGAGAAACUCACACUGAUCUCACUGUUCCAUAGAACGUAUACAUUCAUUGUCUUCUAGCUUGUAAAAAUCAACUGUUGGCAUGAUAAACCUGGAAACUGGGAAGAUUGAACAGGAAUGCUGUAGAGAAUCCAAGUUGUCUGCCCAAGGGGAAGUUCAGUUUUUCUCUAGUGCUUGAUAAGUUAGGCUGAUCUUAAAGGGAGUAGUUAGAAACUUUUUCCAGGCAUCGGUUCUCAAAGUGUGGUCCCCAGAUCAGCAGCACUGGCCUCAACUGGAAACAGAAAAUGAACGCAAAAUGCAAAUCCAUAGGCCUACUGAAUUGGAUACUCUGGGCAUGGGCCCAGGAAUCUGUGUCUUAACCCUCCAGGUGAUUCUGACGUGUGCUAAAGUUUGACAACUACUGUUGGAAAGUCAUAAGAUACUAGACAACCACUGCUUGAACCUUUAGGAUAGGAAUUAACAGUACAAGUAUGUCCUGGUAGUUAAAACAGCUGGAAGGACCAGAGUUGGAUGGAAUUCAGCAGAAACUGAUUGCAGUUUUAUCAGUAAGAUGGCAAGCUAGUCUCUCCUUUCUGGACCCCGGCCCCACCCAACCCCCACUUUGCAUUAGUAUACAAAGAUAGAGGGGAAAGAUUUUGUAUGGUGCGAGUGGUGUGUUUUUCUUCAGUUAAUAAAUGCCCCUCUUUACAAGGAAAUUAGGCAUUGUUCUCAAGUAAGUUUCUCUUACAUUAUCCCAGGGGAUGAUUUUUUUUUUUUUUUUUUUGGUCUAUCUUCCCUGGAGUAAUCAUUGUAUUUUGGAAAUCUAAAUGGUAUUUUAAUCAAAAAUCUUGAUUAAGUUAUUAGUUACUUCCACAUCAAACACAUAUAUUACAAUAUAGCCAGAGGAAAGGGAUCUCACAGAAAGACAGAGACAAACUUUUCUAGAUUGCUCUACUCGUGAACAAGGAGAACACAUUUUUUUUUUUUUUGGAUGAGGCAUAAUUAUAAAUGAGUUCUUUACCCAGUUUCAUACAUCUUACCAUAUAAUAAGCUCAUAUAUCCAAUUAAAAAGUGAUUAAAAAUAGUCAUUUGCUUUUUAAGGCCAUACUAAAUUUCCCUAAAUGGUACCCAAGCAGAUGUAAAUUCUGUCAUCCACUUAAUGCAAUAUAUUGGAUUCUCCUUUUGCCUGUUUCCUUAUCUACAAAGCAAGUAGACUCUUUAAGUGUUACAGUAUAUGUUACUAUGGAUAGUGACCUGAUGCCCACAGUACCUCAAUCUAUCUUGUCUGACUAGUUGUUUCCUCUUCAGAUAAUGUGCAUUUUGAAAAAUGGUCAUUUUUUGUGCAUAUUCCCAAAGUUUGAUGAUGACCUACCAUUUAGUCCCACAUACUUCCUAGGGAAGUAGAGAGGCACUGUUGGCUACAGGGCACUUUAUUCUGAGUGGUUAAAUGGUAAUUGAAAAAGGUCAACAGAUCCUUUCACUCCAGACACAGAAUGUCAUGUUUUUCUGUAUAACGUCUGGCCAUGGACAAUAUUAUUCCAUCAUUUCCACCUAAUUUGGUUGAGUUUUUAAAAUUUCCACUGAGGAUCUGCUUUAAAAGUUUAGAUUUGGUUUCUUUAUAUUAGAUAUGACCUUACUAUGCCUAAGCACUAUCUUAUUCUUUUUAAAAUUCUAUUUGAAAAAUCUCUAUAACACUGGAGAUAGGGACAUCAAUGAACAAUCUUCAGCUUAUUUUAACUGUUUAAUUUCCUGAAACACUGAAGUGUUUGCCCACUUAGACAUGGUGUUGCAGAGAGGCCUUGGCCUUUGAAUUCAGAAACAUCUCUUUUGCAACCAACUUUACCCUUUAUGAGUUAUCUUGGGCAAGUUUUCUGAACCUCUCUGGGUCUGCAUCCUCAUCUGAAAAAAGGAGGACUACAAUACUUGUUUCACAGUGUUCUUGUGGGAGUUAAAUAUGGUAAUCUAGGUUAAGGUCCACAGUCUCAGAAGCACUCAGUGAUAUCUCCCCAGCCCCUGCUGUGUGUAACCUCUUGCUACUAUUAUCAGCUCCAAACAAAGGUCUUCGUUUGCUUAGCUUGAUGGGACUGAUGACAUGAAUGCAUUUUUCUUUCUGAGAAAACUUUCUUACAUGAGCAAUACUGUGAUGUAUUUGGAGAAGUCAAAAGUGUCUAUUAACAUAAUUGUAUUACCUACUUAUAGUUAAGGCUACGUGACUUUCUCAGCUAACUUUGUAUAAGCCCUCUCCUUAGAACAAUAAGAACAACAGCAAAGCCUAGUGAUCAUGUACCAAGAAGUUUCAAUUUAAAGGUACUAUGGAAUUAAAAUUUUGUCAUGUUGGAUUUAGUCUGAGCUGAUUUAUGUUAGCAUCUGUGCUGGUUGGUCAAAUAGCCUCAAAGUGGUAAACAGGUGUCCUAGUUUUGUAUUCAUGGAGAAGGCAGAAAAAUAAUCAUAAGGGGAGAGAUGACAAGAGGGUGUAAAGAGGCAGCCUAAGCAUCUGAUCAGGAGAUGCACAAAGUAGGAGAGAUGCUGUGAGCAAUUUAUUGGCCCUCCCUCAAAUCUCCCAUGGCAAGGAGUAAUCUGUUGUAGAGUGUGGUGUAACUGGCUGGGCUGUUCAGUCAGGAAUUCUUCUGCACUUGAGUUUUACAAGUGCUUCUUCAAGUUGGAAAAGAUGAACACUUUACGAAAAUAUUAGAAAAAGAAUAAAUCUCAACCAUGGGGUAACACACUUUUGGCAGUAAUUACAGGCAAUUAAAAGCAAGGUGCAAAAUCUUAUUCUGCUUAGAUCUGAAAACAUAUGGUACUAGCUGUUGAAACUACAAAGGCUUGUCUUGACCUUGGUCUUUCAGAGACCAUGGGAGGGGAUGAAAGAGAUGGGGAAAGGCAGAAACGCCAGGAAGAGUGAUGGAUUGAAGGGGCACUCUGGGGAGAGACCACUCAACUAAGGGUUUUUAAUUAUCUCUUUUUCCCUGUGAAGAUUUGACUGACUUCACCGUGACCUAAAGUACUAUUCUUUGGAGAUUAUUUGCAUCAAGCAAUGUCCUUUUUGAAAACUGCCGAUACCUCUGAAAAGUAUUACUGUGGCUUAGCUAACUUUCCAGCUGAAAUCUGACAUGGAUGUGGUACGCAGUGCAUGUUGGGAAUGGAGAUGGGCUGAAGACCACUGUAGACCUAGGAGCGGUUUAGAGAAAAGAUGAUGCGAAGGGACUGAAACCCACUGACGAAACUGUAGGUAGAGAAGAGAUAGAUGUACAUUCUCUCAUGUUUUAUUCUUGGGACCUGUAAUUAGUUGGUACUAGAGCAGAGUUUGAAUACAGUGUGGGGUAAACUUGUUUUCAUAACAGUGCCAUGGAUCCCAUGAUAGAGAAUAAAUUCUGAUUUCUAAGCAGUUAAUAACUUCUAGAACAUGACAUUCAUAAAUUGAGACUGGCUUCCUUAGAACUUUUAUACUUUAUAAAAAGUGCUAGUUAUAAAUGUUUUGUAGUUAAUUUGCUAAUACUCUGCUUUGCUGAAGCUCCUCUCUCCCUUCCAUAGCUUGUGGAAUACUCACAGGUUCCCUGGGAAAUAAACCUUAGCUAAGCUACAAAAAGAAAACAACUACGGUGUAUGGCUUUCAUUAAAAAAAAGAAAAAGUACCCAACUUUGAAUUCCACUUAAAAAAUAUACAAAGUCGAACAACUCACUGCCAUCCCAACAACUCAUUGCCUGUUACGAUCAAAUUGUUCAUCUGUCUCUAAACCUUCAUUAUUGUCUAAUGAGCAAAAACUGAAGGCGAGGAGUGUUUUGUGGAACUGGAAACAUGUCUUCUGAAUUCUGUGGUGAUCUCUAGAUGGCAUAGUGAAUGAUAAGGUUUUCUAUUUUAGAAUGCCUAAAUAAAUCAGGGAGCCCUGUCUUCCUCUUAACCUUGUAUAGAGUUAUAUAUUCCCAUGGAAGACAAAAUUUAAAAAUACUAACACUGAAAAAAGCUGUCGGUUUUAAAUCCUUACUUCCACACUGAAGAGUUGAUGCUUUAGGGAUACGAUGUUCAAUUUUCAAUAAUUAUUAGGAGCUGGGAUAAUUGUGACAUAUAUCUUAGCAACUAUUUAGAAUGUGUAUGAGUGGGCUUGAUUGAGGAAUUGCAAUCACUUUUAUAAUUUAAUAUUAAAUACACUGUAAAUAAUAAGACAAAGAUUCUAAAUUAUUUAGUGAUAAUUAGGAAAAAAAAAAAUCUGCUUAAAAUAAUGGCCUGAAUAAAAAGGCUUCAAACAGAUGGCCAAUCUAUUUGCCAGAGAGGAGCAAUAGUUUAAAUCAAGAAACUUUAUCUCCUAAACUUCAUUCUAUGACCUUUUCUCCUGUAGUUUUAUGUUAUUUUGAGACUACAGCAUGUAUGAAUGACAUUCAGAUUUUAAAUGGUUUCA